AGCCGAUUAGUUAUAAGGAUAACUUAUGUUUUGAAAGCAUACUCAAGAGGUUCGAUUCCUCUAUUGGCUU
rnacentral:tRNA from 1 species